GGAGAGAUGCUCGAGUGGACAAAGAGGCACAUUUGGAAAGUGUGUAUAUCUUUAAACAUGAUAUCACGGGUUCGAAUCCCGUUCUCUCCG
rnacentral:tRNA from 2 species